rnacentral:lncRNA from 1 species
AUGACAGCUGUCUGAAACGCAAGUUCGAGGAGACUGAGAGCUAAGCAGCUACUUGGUCCUUGGGCCUACGUGCUUCAGCUGGCAGAGUAGUUAGUCCUACAGUUCCUGUCUCACUCCCAAGGGGCUGGCAGCCAGCAGUGGCUCAGCCCACAAGGUUGGGUACCUCCACAGACCCAAUGUGGCUCUUAGAAUUUGAAAUGUUCCCAGGCUGCUGCUGGUCCUUAGUCAGUGAUGGAAGCCUGGAAACGCUGGUUCUAGAAUCAGUGAUGUGAGCUGCAGCAGUAGCAUCUGGAUCCAUCAACUAGCCAGCAAGAGGGAAGGCCACGGAAGGUGAAUAAUCUCCUUUCUGCUCUGUUCUGUCUGGAAUGCUACCAUAAGGAGCCACCCAUACUCUGCACUCACUCAGGGUGGGUCUUCCCACAUCAGUUAAGCAACCAGGGCAGUUCUUCAGGGAAGGCUCCCUAAGUGGGUGAUAAUAAUUUGCAGCAAGUUGACAGUACAGCCAAGAAUCGCAAUACCUCUGUAUGUUAUUUAGGUACUUUUCUAAAUCUGCAAAAACACUCGGGUUAGGUUUACACCAUCUCUGUAAUGGAACAGAGGUUGGACAGGAUAACAAAGAAAGGCCUGGGUCACUAUAACAUGACACAUAGUGGGAAAUUGAACAUAAUCUUGGUAGGAUUGCUUGAAAGGUCCAAGACUGACAUUCUAAGUGAAUAUAAAUUAGUUUGGGAGUUAAUCAGCCAAGAGAACACUAAAAUCACAUUAGUAAAGGCUAACACAGCACUAAAAGGUUUAAUCAUUUCUAUUGAUUGUCUGGCUUCCUCGUCUUGAGUUACCUCUAUGGGACCUUUGUGCUUUCUCCCCAUCCCAUGGACUUGGUGAGAUCAGCUCAAGCUGUUUGAUUUGGUUUGAGACCAAGGGGGAUGGCUGUAUUUCUGGUCCUGGUUGUACCCCAUCCAGGGUCUAUAGUCACUCAUAUUCUCUCUCCCUCAGCCAAGUCUGGUGUCUGGGAUAGCCCCAAACUAAGCAAACAAUUUUCACCUCUAACAUGCUACUUUGCAGCAAAGUACCAAAUGUCCACAUAAUUUUUUUCCCUGAGGGGAUUAUUUCCCAGCCCCAGAACAAGCUUGGUCAAUUGAACCUUCAAUAUUUUAUCUCUGUUAUCUUUGUGAGCCAAUGGGUUUUUAUUUUUUUGGGGGGGGGUUACUAAUAGGAAUACUGAUGAUGACUCAAAAUCAGCUAACUCACCAGAAACCCCAAUACAGAUGAUGGAGGCUAUGUCCCUGGACCUCUCUGUACUACUUGGAGGCAGAUUAGCUGUACAGAGUCUCCUCCCACAGCAGCUGUUCACUGCCUCUAUAGAACUUGGAAGGAACCUUCUGGAAUCUUGCAAGUUUCAGCUUUCCCAGACAGGGGCAGUUUGUUUGCCUCCUGAGUCUCAUGAGUCUUCACUUUUCCCUCCUGGAUGGAAUGUUUCAAUUCCAAGGAAAUUUGUCUAUAACGGCAAGCAAGGCACAACACAUCACCGCUGUAGCACUAAUUUAUUAAGUACCUUUAUUCUCUAGUUAUACCACACUUCUGAUUAAUUUUUUACCCAUUCCAAAGGUUUUCCAACCUGGAAAUUUGUUCCCUUUAAUAAGCAAACAUACCUGGGAUUGAUAUGCCUACAGGGUUCCUAUGGAUUAAAUACCCAACUUUAUACCAUGCUGUGUUUGCUAUAACUCACAGUGCAUUGUAGUGAAUAGAAAACACCUCAUAGUUAUCAGUUUUGACUAAAAUUUCUCCCCUUCAAAUUAUGUUACCAAUUAAAUAAAUUUUUCUAAAGGAGGUGAGCAUCUAAGGUGAAUUAGAGCCAUCCUGUCAAAUUUGUAUUCUCUGGGUGCACUGUAGUAAAAAAAAAGAUACAUUUUUAAAAGAGUUCUUUUUAAGAAACAGCAAAAUCAGUUACCAGUGUUUAAGUGGCCAGAUAUAUACAUUUGUGUGUGUGUGUGUGUGUGUGUGUGUGUUCUGUAAAAAUCAGAAUCAUUUCUAAUGCUCCUGGGUGCAAAAUACACGAAAUCAGGAUUUUCCUAAUAGCACAUUAUUUAUAGAAGUGGGGCCUUCUUUUUCUAGUAUUACUCUAAUCAGGGAAGAAACUACUACUGUGCCCUUUGGCAAGCCAGCCAGUAUAUGUGGAUUUCUCUCUAGCAACAUGCGUAUUCAAUUCCUCUUGUCUUUCUCAAUGAGGUAUGUCUGUAGUUCAAAUAUGUCAAAAAUGCACAGCUAUCAGGCUUCUGUGAAAGUUUGGCUUCUGGUGGGCUUCCUGUCCUGUGACUGCUUUGAUGAAAGAGACUAGCCUCUGACUUCUCCAUAGACACACACGUGGAGUAUUCCUUCUUUGGAACAAAAGAAGGGAAAUACAGCUUUCCAUCACUGAGACAAAAUGCUCGAUAUGAUAAACUUUAAAAGACAGAAAGUUUAUUUAGGCUCAUAGUUUCAGGGUGUCUAGCUUCUGGCUGGUCAGCUCUGUUGCCUCGGGCCUGUGGUAAUGUAACACACAAUGGUCUGCUGACUUCAUGGCAGCCAGAAGAAUGGCAGCACCCUGGGGUCCCACUAUCCCUUCAAGGACACACUCUCAAUUUUCUGACUCCCACUUCCCCCAGGACAAUUUCCUAGAAGUAUCCCCCAUCCCCUAGUGCUACAGGCUGGCAGCCAAGCUUCUAGCACAAACAUUUUUGGCAGACACUUAAGAUCCUAACCAUACUAAUGUCCAUGUCUUUAAAGUUAUGUAAUUGAAAUCAAUAACAUCUGUGUGUCAUAACUGAGCGAUUAUAGAUUAUAUAUUAUUCUUCAAGGAAAUACAGCAAACAAACACAGGUAAAAUUUAGUUUAGCAUUUUCAUCUUAAUGAAUGCUUGCAUACUGUUAGAAACAUCCAGUCAGAUGGCUCACACUUUCUAUUUCUUCCCUUCCUUGCUUCCUUCUUCUUCUUCCUUCCUUCCUUUCUUUCCUUUUUUUUCUUCUUUCUUCCUGUCUUGUUAGACUGUUAGCUAAAUGUCCCAGUCUUCAGGAAUAUACUCCAGUCUUUGAAAGAGAAGAUCCUUGGAGGAAUUAAAUAUUAACCAUUGAUUUUAACAAAUAGCACCAUGGGAAGAGCUGUUUCAGUCAAAUCCCUUAUUGUCAUACUAAAAUCAUUAGUUUUCAUUCUAAUGCAGACAUACACUAAAAUUCAGAAUUGUAUCAUUAGCCUUUAGCACAGGUUUCUUUCUGAUCUUAUAUUAAAGGCGCUUGGUUGAGCUUGUCUU